rnacentral:rRNA from 1 species
CCCUGGUAGUCCACGCCGUAAACGAUGAGUGCUAGGUGUUGGAUCCUUUCCGGGAUUCAGUGCCGCAGCUAACGCAUUAAGCACUCCGCCUGGGGAGUACGACCGCAAGGUUGAAACUCAAAGGAAUUGACGGGGGCCCGCACAAGCGGUGGAGCAUGUGGUUUAAUUCGAAGCAACGCGAAGAACCUUACCAGGUCUUGACAUCCCGAUGCUAUUUCUAGAGAUAGAAAGUUACUUCGGUACAUCGGUGACAGGUGGUGCAUGGUUGUCGUCAGCUCGUGUCGUGAGAUGUUGGGUUAAGUCCCGCAACGAGCGCAACCCUUAUUGUUAGUUGCCAUCAUUCAGUUGGGCACUCUAGCAAGACUGCCGGUGACAAACCGGAGGAAGGUGGGGAUGACGUCAAAUCAUCAUGCCCCUUAUGACCUGGGCUACACACGUGCUACAAUGGUUGGUACAACGAGUUGCGAGUCGGUGACGGCAAGCUAAUCUCUUAAAGCCAAUCUCAGUUCGGAUUGUAGGCUGCAACUCGCCUACAUGAAGUCGGAAUCGCUAGUAAUCGCGGAUCAGCACGCCGCGGUGAAUACGUUCCCGGGCCUUGUACACACCGCCCGUCACACCACGAGAGUUUGUAACACCCGAAGUCGGUGAGGUAACCUUUUGGAGCCAGCCGCCUAAGGUGGGAUAGAUGAUUGGGGUGAAGUCGUAACAAGGUAGCCGUAUCGGAAGGUGCGGCUG